ensembl:lncRNA novel transcript
CCCCCUCCACCAGAUGUUAUACCAGGAAAAAACCUUCCCCUUCUGCCUCCAGCUCCCACCCGCCAGAGUUCUAGAUAGGAGGGGAGAGCUCCUUUCACUGUUGAUGGGACCCCUUGCAGGGCAGCAGGAUGAGCCAGGGCGCACGGCUGUUGCUGGAAGGGAGACCCCCGAGGGCAGAGGGCGGCAGACCCGGGACGUCCCCAGCGGAGGCAGCGGACGCCGGGAGCCAGGCAUCCCGGGCGAGCCCGGCGUAAUGAGGCGCUCCCUUCUCCUGCGGGAGGCGGGGCUGCCCCUUCCCUCUCCCCCUCCCCCUCCUGGAGGCCCUGCGGGAGCCGGAGUCCAGCGCAGUUGGGCGGGGGCGUGGGGGAGUGAGGCCUUCCAGGUCGGACUGAGCCGGGGCGGGAGGAGAGUGUGAGGCCCCAGUGGCUGGGCCCUCAGGGUCUGAAUUGGGGAGCAAGUGUGGUGGGGAGGAAGGGCUCCCCGGUUUGCAGAUGGCGGGGGAGGCUAUGUCCGCGGGUCGCCCUGGAGCCCUCCGAUCUUUGCCCCGCAGCAUCUGCCCCCCAGGGGGGUCAGCAUGCUUCCGCCCUUCCCCGCGUGUGCGUCGUCUGUCCGCUCCCUCUCCAGCUCCCGGAACCCCCACUCCCCCCGAGGUCCCCUCGGGAGGCAAAGCCGGCUGCGGGGCGGGCGCGCACCAGCUCCGGGCCCCGUAAACACCC